rnacentral:rRNA from 1 species
UCAAGUUAUUAAGGGUGCAGGGCGGAUGCCUUGGCACUAGGAGCCGAUGAAGGACGUGAUAAGCUGCGAUAAGCUUCGGGGAGUUGCACGUAAACUUUGAUCCGAAGAUUUCCGAAUGAGGAAACUCACUUAGAGUAAUGUCUAAGUAUCAUUAAGUGAAUACAUAGCUUAAUGAGGGGAACUCAGGGAACUGAAACAUCUAAGUACCUGAAGGAAGAGAAAGAAAUUCGAUUCCGUAAGUAGCGGCGAGCGAACGCGGAUUAGCCCAAACCAAUAAAGUUUUCUUUAUUGGGGUUGCGGACAUAUCAUAACGAAGAGGUAUCGUAAUUGAAGAGGUUUGGAAAGACCCACCACAGAAGGUAAUAGUCCUGUAUGUUAAACGAGAAGACUUUAGAUAUGAUCCAGAGUACCACGGGACACGUGAAACCCUGUGGGAAGCAGGAGGGACCACCCUCCAAGGCUAAAUACUACCUAGUGACCGAUAGCGUAUAGUACCGUGAGGGAAAGGUGAAAAGAACCCCGGGAGGGGAGUGAAAUAGAACCUGAAACCCUGCACUUACAAGCUGUGGAAGCACAUUUCUUGUGUGACCGCGUACUUUUUGUAGAACGGGCCAACGAGUUACGUUAAGUAGCAAGGUUAAGCACUUAAGGUGCGGAGCCGUAGCGAAAGCGAGUUUUAACUGAUCGUUCAGUUACUUGACGUAGACCCGAAACCGGGCGACCUACCCAUGAGCAGGAUGAAGCGAAAGUAAAAUUUCGUGGAGGUCCGAACCCACGAGCGUUGAAAAGCUCGGGGAUGACUUGUGGGUAGCGGUGAAAUUCCAAUCGAGCCCGGAGAUAGCUGGUUCUCCCCGAAAUAGCUUUAGGGCUAGCCUCAAGGUGAGAGAUACGGAGGUAGAGCACUGAAUGUCCUAGGGGGUAUUGCACCUACCGAAGACUAUCAAACUCCGAAUGCCGUCAUCUUAUACUUGGGAGUCAGACUGUGGGUGAUAAGAUUCAUAGUCGAAAGGGCAACAGCCCAGAUCGUCAGCUAAGGUCCCUAAAUGUAAGUUAAGUGGUAAAGGAUGUGGGAUUGCACAGACAACCAGGAUGUUGGCUUAGAAGCAGCCACUCAUUCAAAGAGUGCGUAAUAGCUCACUGGUCGAGUGAUCCUGCGCCGAAGAUUUCCGGGGCUAAAACUUACUACCGAAGCUACGGCAUCAGUAAUGAUGGGUAGGGGAGCUUCCCAUACGGGUUGAAGCAUGACCGUAAGGACAUGUGGACAGUAUGGGAGUGAGAAUGUUGGCAUGAGUAGCGAGAUGUGGGUGAGAAUCCCACAGGCCGUAAACCCAAGGUUUCCAGGGGAAGGUUCGUCCGCCCUGGGUUAGUCGGGACCUAAGCUGAGGCCGAAAGGCGUAGGUGAUGGACAACAGGUUGAUAUUCCUGUACUACCGAUAACCGUUUGAGAGAAGGGAUGACACAGUAGGAUAAGCUAAGCACACUGUUGGUUAUGUGUGCUCAAGCAUUGAGGCAGUCAAAGUAGGCAAAUCCGCUUUGAUAAUGCUGGGAUGUGAUGGGGAGCGAAAUUUAGUAGCGAAGUAGCUGAUUUCACACUGUCAAGAAAAGUCUCUAUCGAGGUUAAAGGUACCCGUACCGCAAACCGACACAGGUGGGUGAGGAGAGUAUCCUAAGGCCAGCGAGAGAACUGUUGUUAAGGAACUCGGCAAAAUGACCCCGUAACUUAGGGAUAAGGGGUGCCACCAUCAGGUGGCCGCAGAGAAUAGGCCCAAGCGACUGUUUACCAAAAACAUAGGUUUCUGCUAAGUCGCAAGACGAUGUAUAGGAGCUGACGCCUGCCCGGUGCUGGAAGGUUAAGGGGAUCUGUUAGAGCAAUCGAAGCAGUGAACUUAAGCCCCAGUAAACGGCGGCCGUAACUAUAACGGUCCUAAGGUAGCGAAAUUCCUUGUCGGGUAAGUUCCGACCCGCACGAAAGGCGUAACGAUUUGGGCACUGUCUCAACAACAGACUCGGUGAAAUUGUAAUUCCGGUGAAGAUGCCGGAUACCUGCGACAGGACGGAAAGACCCCAUGGAGCUUUACUGUAGCUUGACAUUGGGUCUUGGUACUACAUGUACAGGAUAGGUGGGAGGCUUUGAAACCAGGACGCCAGUUUUGGCGGAGCCAUCCUUGGGAUACCACCCUUGUAGUACUGGGACUCUAACCAUAGGCCAUGAAUCUGGUCUUGGGACACUGUCAGGUGGGCAGUUUGACUGGGGCGGUCGCCUCCCAAAAGGUAACGGAGGCGCUCAAAGGUUCUCUCAGUACGGUCGGAAAUCGUACGUAGAGUGUAAAGGCAAAAGAGAGCUUGAUUGCAAGACAUACAGGUCGAGCAAGGAUGAAAAUCGGACUUAGUGAUCCGGUGGUUCUGCGUGGAAGGGCCAUCGCUCAACGGAUAAAAGCUACCCUGGGGAUAACAGGCUUAUCUCCCCCAAGAGUCCACAUCGACGGGGAGGUUUGGCACCUCGAUGUCGGCUCAUCACAUCCUGGGGCUGUAGUAGGUCCCAAGGGUUGGGCUGUUCGCCCAUUAAAGUGGUACGCGAGCUGGGUUCAGAACGUCGUGAGACAGUUCGGUCCCUAUCCGUCGCAGGCGUAGGAAAUUUGAGAAGACCUGUCCUUAGUACGAGAGGACCGGGAUGGACGUACCUCUGGUGUACCAGUUGUUCUGCCAAGGGCAUGGCUGGGUAGCUAUGUACGGAAUGGAUAAGCGCUGAAAGCAUCUAAGCGCGAAGCCAACUUCAAGAUAAGAUUUCCCACCGCAAGGGUAAGACCCCAGAAAGACUAUCUGGUUGAUAGGUCGAAGGUGUAAGUGCAGCAAUGUAUUUAGCUUAUCGAUACUAAUAGGUCGAGGACUUGACCAA